rnacentral:rRNA from 1 species
AACGAACGCUGGCGGCAUGCCUAACACAUGCAAGUCGAACGAUGCUUUCGGGCAUAGUGGCGCACGGGUGCGUAACGCGUGGGAAUCUGCCCUUGGGGUCGGAAUAACAGUUGGAAACGACUGCUAAUACCGGAUGAAGACGAAAGUCCAAAGCUUUAUCGCCUGAGGAUGAGCCCGCCUAAGAUUAGGUAGUUGGUGGGGUAAAGGCCUACCAAGCCGACGAUCUUUGGCUGGUCUGAGAGGAUACGCAGCUACACUGGACCGGCGACAAGGCCCAAACUCUUACGGGAGCCAGAAGUGGGGAAUGUUGGACGAUGGGCGAGAGCCUGUACCCGCACUGCCGCGUGAGGGAUGCAGACCUUAGGGUUGUACAGCUCUUUUACCCGGCAUGUUAAUGACAGUACCGGGAGCAUAAGCCCCGGCUAUCACCGUGCCUGCCGCCGUAGUAA